GUCAGAGGGUUCGAUGGCGCUUUGUGUGGGGGGAGUGAGGAAGUGUUUGAUUGGAGUCAUUCCUUUGUGAGCAUGGAGUUACAAAAUGAUUUUUGAACUGUGGUUCAUUAUUUUCAAACUAUGAUUCAAUCUGCUGAGUUCUUGCAGACGGAGCUGGAGCAAAUAAGUGGGUCUCAAUCGAUCAAUAACUUCUUAUUCAAUAAACUUGCUACUCUUGCAACUGACACAAAUUGCAUGUCGGUUACACGAGGUCGGCAGAGUGCUGCUUCAGAAGGAUUGUGAGUCCAGCUCUGCAGUUACAAAAGGUGGCGCAGCAUCAGUGAAUAGUUCGAAAGUAGAUUCUGUCACAGUAGAGACUUGUUUCACUACUUUGAAGGCUGUAGUGGAGCCUCAACAUAA